rnacentral:rRNA from 1 species
AAACAUUUCUUUUAAAAAUUAAUUAAAGUAAAACCUGCUCAAUGAUAAAUUAAAUGGCCGCAGUAAUUUAACUGUGCUAAGGUAGCAUAAUCAUUAGUCUCCUAAUUAGAGACUAGAAUGAAUGGUUUAACAUUUCCUUUACUUUUUUACUAAUAUAAUAUAAAAUUAUAUUAAAUAUAAAAAUAUAUUUAUAUAAAAAAUAGACGACAAGACCCUUUCAAACUUAACUUAAGUUAAGCUGGGGAAGCUCUUUAAAUAAAAUCUUAAUAAUUUUGAUAUAAAUAGACCCAAUUAUAGUUGAAUAAUUGAACAAGUUACUGAAGGGAUAACAGCAUAAUUAAUUUAAAUAGAUCUUAUUUAAAAAUUAGUUUAUGACCUCGAUGUUGAAUUAUUUUUCUCCUAAACGCAAGAGUAUAGAAAGUAGGUCUGUUCGACCUUUAAACUUUUACAUGAUCUGAGU